rfam:Avibacterium paragallinarum JF4211, WGS project CBMK01000000 data, contig: 31-49-5-44
AUUUUCGCAUAACUCCGAGCUUGUUCGCCUACGUUUAACUCACAAAAUAAGGCGACAAUGCCAGCAAUGAAUAGCAUUGCUCAGGGAUACGCUGGAAACGGUUUAUCCUCUCAUUUUAGAAAGGUGUCUAAUGCAACGCAUU